AUUCCAGCUCCAAUAGCGUAUAUUAAAGUUGUUGCAGUUAAAAAGCUCGUAGUUGGAUUUGGGACUGGAGUCGUCGGGUCGGCCGCGAGGUCUGUUACUUGGCGGCUCUGUCAUUACAAUUCCCUGGGACCUGUCGUGUGCUUCGCUGUACGCGGCACGGGACUUGGGACGUUUACUUUGAAAAAAUUAGAGUGUUCAAAGCAGGCUUUUUAAGCCCGAAUACAUGAGCAUGGAAUAAUGGAAUAGGAUUGCGGUUCUAUUUUGUUGGUUUCUACGACCGCAGUAAUGAUUAAGAGGGACAAUUGGGGGCAUCCGUAUUUCGUUGUCAGAGGUGAAAUUCUUGGAUUUACGAAAGGCGAACAACUGCGAAAGCAUUUGCCAAGAGUGUUUUCAUUA
rnacentral:rRNA from 1 species